AAAAAAAAAGAAUCUUUUCCUUUGUCCUGUAAAAAGCCUUGCCUCAAAAGAGCUCGCAUCAAAUAUGUUUAUAUUGAUCUUACGUUGUUUGAAUAAAUACAGGAGUUUCUUUCUGCCAUGUUUAAUGACAGAGAAACGGAGGAUGAGAAAGAACACCAGGAACAGCACGGCAACUGACAUCAGUGCGAGAAAGAAGAUGAUGAUCUGGGAGGGGCUGGCGUGGUGGCAGAGGCUGUACCUGGAGAGAAGCCAGCCGAGGCUGGUCCACAUACUGCAUCACUUUCCUUCGUCCCAUUCACAAGUACAGACUUGCCAGCCAAAGAACAGCUUAGAAAAUCCAAGGAAAAGAAUUCAAAUAAUUAAUUUAGGUACAGAUCAUUCUAAUAAAAAAUAUUGACAUUUUC